GCAAGCCCUCCGCUGCCGGGCUUCGCCCCGCCCCUUCCGGGCCAAAAGCCAGGAUGAGGAAGGGACCGAAACCAUAGACUUUUCAAGGGACAGAGCGGCUUCGUCUUUUUUUCCUUUCCAUGGCCCCCUCAGUCCUGACGCCCAGCGAGGCCCGCGGACGGUUUGGUCCUCCGGCUCCCCUACGCCUCUGUCAGCCGCUAAACGGUGAAAUGCAGGACGAGUGUCACUUAAGCACCAGAAAAUAGGUGGUCCAGCCCGCCAGGAGCAGGGCCCCGAGCAGCACGGUGUAACUGAACAGGACAAACGCCAGAAGCUCCUUCAGCACCUUCAGGAAAUGGACAGCAAACGACUCCUGCAUGAUUCUGGCUCUAUAAACUGGUGGAGGUAAAUGCAUGCAGAUCGCCUGAUCUGUAGAAGAGCAGAAAAUAAAGCCAGGAUCAGCCUGCUGCUAAUCUAGGAAGGUAAUUUCUCUCCCAAAGAAAAUUAAAGCAGUUGGAAGUGAACUGAAUUUGCACCACAUCCGAGGGAAAAGAGGCAGCCGCUCCUCGAGAGAGUCCCGAACGAUCAAAGCAGGAAAGGCUGCACAGAGAGAACCACACCCGGUUCCACACCCGGUGAC